rnacentral:rRNA from 1 species
CCUACGGGAGGCAGCAGUGGGGAAUAUUGCACAAUGGGCGCAAGCCUGAUGCAGCCAUGCCGCGUGUGUGAAGAAGGCCUUCGGGUUGUAAAGCACUUUCAGCGGGGAGGAAGGCGUUAAGGUUAAUAACCUUGGCGAUUGACGUUACCCGCAGAAGAAGCACCGGCUAACUCCGUGCCAGCAGCCGCGGUAAUACGGAGGGUGCAAGCGUUAAUCGGAAUUACUGGGCGUAAAGCGCACGCAGGCGGUCGGUCAAGUCGGAUGUGAAAUCCCCGGGCUCAACCUGGGAACUGCAUUCGAAACGGGCAGGCUAGAGUCGUGUAGAGGGGGGUAGAAUUCCAGGUGUAGCGGUGAAAUGCGUAGAGAUCUGGAGGAAUACCGGUGGCGAAGGCGGCCCCCUGGACAAAGACUGACGCUCAGGUGCGAAAGCGUGGGGAGCAAACAGGAUAGAUACCCGAGUAGUC